GUCUACGACCAGCUCACCCAGAACACGACCCAAUCUUGUGGGCUCUCGGAAUAUUCUGUGGCUCGGGCCUUUGUUCGUACUACGAUGGGAGUCUGUCGGGGAGUAACCAGAGCUGUAGGCA
rnacentral:rRNA from 1 species